rnacentral:lncRNA from 1 species
UUAUAUAAAACAAUAAUUGUACUCUCUGUAUUUUAUGUUUGAUAGAUAUGACGUUUCAGACCUCAGCAGCAUAAGGAAAAAUCUUCUGUGGCCUCCCUUCUCUCACCUCCCACAUCACUGAUAAGCUGUUCCCACUUGGCUUUACCUCCUAGGAGAACCAGGGCAGAGUUAUCUGAGAAAUUAUUUCUGUUCCUGCCUGUGCCACAACCAGCAUCCAGCAGAAGGUGAAAGGUGGAGGUCUGGAACAGUCGCUCCAAGAUCAGUCCUCCCUCCAGCUUGCCUGGGAUCAAUCAGCCUGUCUGGGACCAAAAGAGGGACAGAAAGAUAGCCCUAAGACAGCAAUAUGAAACACAACGUCAAAAUGUGGCUGUGACAAAUAUGUAAAAGCAAAACAACAACAACAAGCAACAUCUGUGAUAUGAGGCACCAUAACACGGAGUUUGUUCUGGGAAAGUCAGAGAAAACCAUGCAGAAGGAGCAACGCUUAAGUCAUUCUCAGAGAAGAUCUCUUCAGGUUACGGAGAUCACAUCCCAACACAGUUCCUACAUCUCAAAAUGUGCCUUGAAGAAUGCUCAUUUACAAAGACAACAACCGACAGCUUUGUUAGAGGUGAUAUCCGAUGGCAACAAAAGAAGAAAUGCUUGCAUUCCUACUCCCUUAAGCCAAGCAAUCAACCAAAGAGGCACUAUUUGGGCCAGGAAGGCAGGGAGAAGAUGUGGGCCUAGAAGGUGAAGGCUCCAGUCGCUGAGUUUCUGCUGGGAGUGCAGGCUAAAGUGGAAGGCCAUAACAAUUCUUGAAAGCAGCAUUCCUGGGAGGCCC